rnacentral:piRNA from 1 species
UAGGACAAAAUGAAGAUCCAGAAGGCUC